UACGAAGGUCCCGAGCGUUAUUCGGAAUCACUGGGCGUAAAGGGAGCGUAGGUGGCGUGGAAAGUCAGAUGUGAAAUCCCGGGGCUCAACCCCGGAACUGCAUCCGAUACUACCAUGCUAGAGUAUUGGAGGGGUAACUGGAAUUCUCGGUGUAGCAGUGAAAUGCGUGGAUAUCGAGAGGAACACUCGUGGCGAAAGCGAGUUACUGGACAAUUACUGACGCUGAGGCUCGAAGGCCAGGGGAGCAAAAGGG
rnacentral:rRNA from 1 species